rnacentral:rRNA from 1 species
AGCGAACGCUGGCGGCAGGCCUAACACAUGCAAGUCGAGCGCCGUAGCAAUACGGAGCGGCAGACGGGAGAGUAACACGUGGGAACGUACCCUUUGGUUCGGAACAACCCAGGGAAACUUGGGCUAAUACCGAAUAAGCCCUCACGGGGAAAGAUUUAUCGCCGAAGGAUCGGCCCGCGUCUGAUUAGCUAGUUGGUGAGGUAAUGGCCCACCGAGGCGACGAUCAGUAGCUGGUCUGAGAGGAUGAUCAGCCUCACUGGGACUGAGACACGGCCCAGACUCCUACGGGAGGCAGCAGUGGGGAAUAUUGGACAAUGGGCGCAAGCCUGAUCCAGCCAUGCCGCGUGGGUGAUGAAGGCCCUAGGGUUGUAAAGCCCUUUCGGCGGGGAAGAUAAUGACGGUACCCGCAGAAGAAGCCCCGGCUAACUUCGUGCCAGCCGCCGCAGUAA